rnacentral:rRNA from 1 species
GACAGAGGGUGCAAACGUUGUUCGGAAUUACUGGGCGUAAAGGGCGCGUAGGCGGCCAACUAAGUCAGACGUGAAAUCCCCAGGCUCAACCUGGGAACUGCGUCUGAUACUGGAUGGCUUGAAUCCGGGAGAGGGAUGCAGAAUUCCAGGUGUAGCGGUGAAAUGCGUAGAUAUCUGGAGGAAUACCGGUGGCGAAGGCGGCAUCCUGGACCGGCAUUGACGCUGAGGAGCGAAAGCUAGGGGAGCAAACGGG